rnacentral:tRNA from 1 species
AUUACUUUGGCAGAGUUAGUGCGGUAAAUUUAGAGUUUAUUAUACAUAUUUAAUAAUAUAAGUAAUA